GACGAACGCUGGCGGCGUGCUUAACACAUGCAAGUCGAACGGAAAGGCCCUGCUUUUGUGGGGUGCUCGAGUGGCGAACGGGUGAGUAACACGUGAGUAACCUGCCCUUGACUUUGGGAUAACUUCAGGAAACUGGGGCUAAUACCGGAUAGGAGCUCCUGCUGCAUGGUGGGGGUUGGAAAGUUUCGGCGGUUGGGGAUGGACUCGCGGCUUAUCAGCUUGUUGGUGGGGUAGUGGCUUACCAAGGCUUUGACGGGUAGCCGGCCUGAGAGGGUGACCGGCCACAUUGGGACUGAGAUACGGCCCAGACUCCUACGGGAGGCAGCAGUGGGGAAUAUUGCACAAUGGGCGGAAGCCUGAUGCAGCAACGCCGCGUGCGGGAUGACGGCCUUCGGGUUGUAAACCGCUUUCGCCUGCGACGAAACGUGAGUGACGGUAAUGGGUAAAGAAGCACCGGCUAACUACGUG
rnacentral:rRNA from 1 species